rnacentral:misc_RNA from 1 species
GAUGAAGAACGUAGCGAAAUGCGAUACGUAAUGUGAAUUGCAGAAUUCAGUGAAUCAUCGAAUCUUUGAACGCACAUUGCGCCCGCCAGUAUUCUGGCGGGCAGGCCUGUCUGAGCGUCAUUUCAACCCUCAUGCCCCUAGGGCGUGGUGUUGGGGAUCGGCCAAAGCCCGCGAGGGACGGCCGGCCCCUAAAUCUAGUGGCGGACCCGUCGUGGCCUCCUCUGCGAAGUAGUGAUAUUCCGCAUCGGAGAGCGAUGAGCCCCUGCCGUUAAACCCCCAACUUUCCAAGGUUGACCUCAGAUCAGGUAGGAAUACCCGCUGAACUUAAGCAUAUCAAUAAGCGGAGGA